CAAGUUCCUUCUGCUUCUCCUAUAACUUUAUAUUUUUCGAAUUCUCAAAUGUUUUGUGUUUCAGAAACCACAGUGCCUCUGUCAGUUCAGUUACUCAUUCACUUGCUCACUCGCGUUUGUCGUGGACUCGUAUGUGACAUGAGGACAGUGUUUUUGCAUUUUCAACGGAUUUGUUUUUGUUUUGCUUUGAAUACGUCGGAUUUGGUCGUUUUUCAUUGUGUUUAUUUUUUUCGUUGCCUCAUAUUCCGGCAUUGCCCAUUGCCCGUUGCCCGUUGGUGGUUUGCAUAUUUUGUUGUCUCAGCCGUCGCCUGUCUGCUGUCUGAGUGUCGUCUUCUCUGUCUGCAGCGACUUAGCCUGCAGUCAGUCAACCAGCUAGCUAGUUAGUCACUUGGUCUAACUUUCAGUGUUCUUUAGUCUGAGGCGUCUAUGCGUUCAUAACGUGUCGUUUGUUUUCCAACAAAAUCGAGCGAAAUAAAAUUUUUUAUCAACUUCAAAUAAAUACUAUUUUCAAAAAGUAUACAUAAAACGAGGUGUGCGUAUUCGAAAAAAAUAUUUUUUAAUUCGUGAAAUUCUCCCACAAAGCUCCGAAUAUAUGUGGCACUAAUUAAAUCAAUAAAAGUUGAUGCCUAGUGAAGUUUGAAAUAAAAGAAAAUUAAAUGUAAUAAGCUUAAAAGUGGAAAAUUAAAUGAAAUAAAUUUGUUUGAGCUCUUUCGCAAUGCGUCGUAUGUUGCUUGCGUGCAACAAAGCUGAAAGCGACGCGCCUUGAGUGUGUGCAACGGAAGUGGGAAAGUGCGAGCGUACGCAACCGAAUAUACAAGCCAUACACACAUACAUACAUAUGUAAAUGCAUAUAUCCGUUUCAUAAACAAAAAAAAAAAAAAAAUUAAUGAAAAAAGAUAAAGUAAAACUAAAAGUUCCUCAUGUUUGUUGUCAAUCUUCUGUGCCGCAAAGUGUAGCGAAAAUCAUUUUCUUCGAAAAUUUAUUGCAAUCCAUGAGCCAAUAGUCAGUCGGUGGAUAUAAUCGACGCACUUGCACAAUUUUGAGCGACAUUGGAAUUUCGUAAAGCAAGAAAUCAAAUAAAAAUACAAAAAUUACGAAUAAAAAUAAAUUAAAUAAAACGUAAAUGUCUGGGAACAUCGGCGUCGCGCUAAAAGAAUUUAUUUAAUUGCUUAUUUUUAUAAGCUAUAAAAUUGUGCGGAUUAAAAAUAGUCGCCGUAAAAUGAAAAUGGCUAAGAAGCAAAGGGGAAGAGCCAACGCAUUCACAUAUUGACUGCAAUUGUUGCUAGUCACCCGCAUACAAUACAACAACAAACGCAAUUUUUCAUUUACAAAUGUGGAAGUGCCCGUUUUGUGAGCUUGAAAGUGCACAUGUGAAGCAGACAACGAACAUAGUUUGCAACAAACAAACACACAUUUGAAUGCUCGCUCUGAUACACCAACAAAAACGAGUCGGGAAACGCGCGAUGUUCAAGACUUUGAUUUACGCAAUUUUCGUUCGCAAGAAAAGUACUUCCGCUGCUGACGACAACAACAUACAAAUCAACACCAACACCACCAACAGCAACAACAACUACAAUAUCAGCGGCAUCGCUAAUAUUAGCUUUGGCAUUCUUAUAGGCGUUGCCAUUGCAAUUUUAAACGCCAACAUUCGUUCCACGCCCGCACUCACAAUUGCCACUUAAGUGCAAUACGAGAAGUUACAAGAAAUACUCGUCGAAGUUCAGCACCCCAAGGAAGUUGCAUACGACUUGAUUUCGUUGUGACGCUUUUGCAUAAAAAAAUCAACUUGAUGUAUCAGCUGUGCCGAUUGUAUCAACGCACACAUAAAGAUUUAACAAAAAUUCAUACAAAAUGGCGAUUAAUAACACCACCCGAUCGACGACGACAAGAGAAGCGCUACGAUAAACGUUACGAAGUGAGUGUCACCGUGUGAUUUGAAAAAUUGUCGACGAAAAAUAAAUUUUAAAUUUAUAUACUAAUAUUAAAGCAGUUAUAUAUAUGCGAAAGUAGUGUGUAAAAGCAAUCGAAAAAAGAAAGAAAAAAAUAAACAUACAUAUAUGGUAUAUUAGUAGUGCUGGUGCAAUUCCAAAUAGUAGUAUAGUGUUGCAAAAUACUCCUACCACUCUAAUAGCAGUGUUGUUGGGUGAAAAGGUGUGUCGCAUUAUCCUAAAUAUAAUUGGUUAAAAAAUUAUUAAAUUAUUAAAUUAAAAAAGUGUAGCAAGGUUUCGUUGUCAACUUUCUAUUAGUGUUAGCGUAUAAUACAGCAAUUAGGGAAAUCAGCAUAUAAAAUCCUCUAAAAUUUCACCUACAACAAAAACCAAUAAAAUUUUCCACAUGUGGCAUCCACUUGCACGAGAUCUGGCUUCACUCCUACAAGAAGCAGUGCAAUACACACGCAACUUGGUGGUGUCUAAGAUGUGUUCCCGCAACAUUAAGAUCUCGGUGGUGCUGUUUCUUGUCUUGAUUCCACUUAUCACAGCUUUGCCACACAACAACCACAAUUUGUCAAAGCGAAGCAAUUUCUUCGACUUAGAGUGCAAAGGAAUCUUCAACAAAACAAUGUUCUUCCGCUUGGAUCGCAUUUGCGAAGACUGCUAUCAACUUUUCCGCGAAACAAGUAUACACCGACUAUGCAAGAAAAACUGCUUCGAUUCGAAAUGGUUUGGAGAAUGCUUAAAAGUGCUUUUAAUACCAACGGAAGAGAUUUCGAAAUUACAGCACUUUAUUAAAGUGAUUAACGGCUCUCCAAUAUCAUUCCCACAGUCGGUCCCAACAUAACUUUAGUUUAGAUGCAAAACUUUCCAAUUUCCAAUUAAUUUGUACUUAUUUAUUAUUGUAUUUUACGAUGGUUUAAGUUUCAUUUGAGUUUUAUGAUUUUCUGUUAUUUAUUACAUACAUAUGUAAUUAAUUAUGUUUAUGCUUAAAAUAUGCUUAAUUUAUUUUAAAUAACAAAUCAGAACCUUAAAAGAUAUCUAAACAGAUAUAAAUAAAACUCACACCCACACAAACACACACAUAUAUACAAUACAAAAACACAAAAAAAAUACUUUGAAGAAAAGAGAAUGAAAUUCAAUAUAUUUAUAAACUUAUUUAUUCUAUAAGUAACUUUAAUAACUUUAUACAAAAGAGACAUAAGAACAAAGUGAAAAAUAUUGUAAACUAUUAACUCAAAGUUUUAGGAGUGAAAACAAAAAACAAAACUAAACUAAAGCAAAAUUAAAAAUAACAGUCUUGCAAAAAACGCGUUUUGUAUUUGUACUUAGCGCAAUAGUACUAAGUGUAGCGGAAAAUGUACAGUCUAGUGAAAAAUUCUGCACAAAUACAUGCGACAAUCAAGAGAAAUACUCGUAUAAUGCAGUAUUGUAGAGUAACAGCGUAUCAAAUUCAGUUCCGUUAAUCUUACAUGGACCUGUAGUUGAACAGGAUUUCAAGUGCAAUUCUGCUAACCUUACAUAAAUCUGUAGUUGAACAGAGUUUCAAAUGCAGUACUGUUAAUCCAAUUUCAACCUACGCAACAUCACUUUAACAGCUUAAACACAAGCAUAGAACAUGUCUCGGGAAUAUUACAUACUAAAAAAGUAUUGAUUUUGUAUUUAUGAAUAUGUUCGUACUUUUUAUUAAAUUUUAUCAAUCGAAAAUCACUAAACAUAACUUUGAGUUUUUAAUUUACAUGUGUUUGUUAGUAUAUACAAGUUUAUAUGUAGGUAUAAAUGCAUGAAGAAAUGUGUAACUAUUAUUAUAGUAAGUGCUUUCCAGUAAGUAUUUAUCUAGUAAAAAUGUUAUUUGUAUAAAUUUUAAAAAUAUAUAUUUUUUACCAAACAAAAUUAAAAAUAAACUCAACUAAAUAUUCUUUUAAACAUUUUGCAAUUUGUGAAAAGCACACAAAAAUCCACUUACACUCAAAAAACACGAAUGAAAAUUUUCCAAACAACAACAAAAAUACAUACAAACAUUUUUACAAGAUUAUUUUUUUCAGUGUAGGUACAUCGAGAAUGUACUACUAAGACAGUUGUGGCACUUUUAAGAGUUUCUAAAUUUUUUAUAAUUAAAUACUUUUAUAUAUAAAAUAUAAAUAUAUGCUAGAAUCGUUUACAAAAGUUAUGUACUAUAUAUAAAACAAAUUUAAAAAAAAAAACUGUUAAAAAAAUUUAAAAAUAUUUUAAAAUCGAAAAAAGAUGGCAUCAAGUUAUGGUAAUGAAACGGACACAUACAUAGCGACUUACAUAUGUACACACACACCUACAUAUAUAUAUGUACCUAUGGAUAUGUAUGUGAAUGUUGAAGAAAUUUGUUAGCAAAUAUUUACUGAAAUUAUUGUGAUAAAGUAGUAGAACGACAAGCAAGCAUAAAUAUGUAGUAGAAAGUAUGUUGAAAAAAGGCGAGAAAAAAUAGAGAUGAACCACGGCAACAACAACCGCAACAACGCCAAACAAGCGCACAAGCAGCUGACCUUGGCAGCACUGGAGUGCGAGGCCAUGUGACCAUCAGGAUAAUGUGUUUUUCCUACAACAAUACAGAUCGCAACGAAAAACAACAACAAAACACAAUGUGACAUAUAUUUGUCUGUGUGCGCUUUGCAGCACUUUAAACUUACAGGACUAGCGCAGCAAUACAUUACAAUUACAAACACACACAUGUACCAGUGCAAUAACAACAACAACAUUGAACUUUUGAUUUUUUGGCAAGAUUGCUUCGGUUCACAAUUCUUCGCCGCCUGCGUCGAGGCUUUACAACUGCACGAAGAGAUGGACAAAUACAAUGAAUGGCGCUUCACUCUCGGCAAGAAGUAAGGUGUUCCAUUCUACUGCGUUCUACUAGCUUCAUUGUUGACGACCUGCGGACGACGUUCAUGCGACGGUUGCAGUGUGUGUGGAUUGUAUGGACAUAAUGUGGAUAGUGCGAUUGUGUUGGCUUUUUUAUGUAGAUCAAACGACGACUUGGACUGGAACACUGAUAAUGUUAAAUCAAAUAAAGGCGAUAAAUAUAAAAUUGAUGUAUAACCGUAUAACGAAAAUGGCAAUGAGAUCCUGACGAUGACAACGUUAAUUAUGAAUGGAGUGAUGAUGAUGACUAUGAUGACGAUGACGACACUGGCAGCUAAGCAUGAAUAUAGAUUAUGGAAUAAUGGAAUACUGAAAAAAAAAAUUUAUGGAAUUUUAUAUUAAAUUUUGUUUAAAAUAAUACUUUUAAAGAACUAAGAAGAAACACACAUACAUAUUAUCAAUGGAAAAUUAAUGAAAUAAACAAAAGUGAAUAAAAUAAUUAUAAUUUCAAUUUAAAGCAAACAUAAUCUUUUCAAAUUGUUCUUUGAUGUACUUUGAUGUCUGCAUAAAGCAAAUUUUUAACAAAAAAAAUAAAAAAAAUUGAAAAAAAAAUUAAAACGCAAUUAAUAGACACACAUUUUCUAUAUGUACAGAUAUUUUUCAUGAAAUAAAACUAAGUUUAUGCACAAAAAUGUUAAAUGUAAAAAAUUAUUUAAAAAUGUGAGUUUUGAAUAAACUACAAUGUGUGUGAAGUUUUCGCUAGCGUUUACUAUAUCCGUCUCCAGUGGUUAAUUUUAAAGCUUUCAUAAUUUACAAAAGUAUUUCCAAAAAAAAAAACAAAUAUAAUAACUUCAGCCUCAAAUAAUACUCCAUUUACGCAAUUUGUUAAAACACAGUGUCCGUAAAAACGAAAAAAAUGCAUACAAAGCUAAAAUCCGAUUGCAUUCAAAUUUAAUUUAAAUGCAACAAAUCGAUUUAAUCGACAUCGAUAACAAACAACAAACAAGCGAAAUAUAUAUAUACCAUAAAUAUAAUGGAAAAACACAAACACAAGUAUUUUAAAUGUCUGAUGUAAAUAGAUGAUUCAUUAUAUUUUUAUUAUUAUUUUGUAUUAAUUUGUAAUUAUAUUUAUAUUAAUAUAAUUAUUAUUAUGUUAAAAUUAAACUAUCGUAAAUUAUUGAUUACGUGCUAUAAGUAGUAGCUAUCGAAUCGUGAGGUUUUAAUUUUUUACAAUUUAAUAACUUUACAUAUAUACAUGCAAAACAUACUACGAAUGCAUUGUAUUGAAAACAUAAAAGUAUUUUUAAUUUGUAAAUUAUUUUUGCAAUAAUAUUCUUAAGUUAUUUUUACUAAUUAUAUACAUACAAACAUACCUACAUAUAUAUAUAUAUAUGAUAUUGUAUAUUGUACUAUCGUUACGAUGAUUUUUAUACUGUGCAAAUAAGAAGAUAAUAACAACAAACAAUAAAAACAACUCCCCACAUAAGCUCAUAUGUAAAUUCAAUAGACCACAAAUGACGGAUAGUAUGUGUGUAGCUUACAGACAAUACGAUAUAUACACAUGCAUAUGUAUGUACAUGUGUAUAUACUUGUAUUAUGUACAUUAAUAUUAAUGUGCAUUAAAUAUAACUAAAAAAUAUGUUUGCAACUGCAUACACGCACGUCCACAAACACAAACGUAACUAUAGCUAAAGAUUUUUUUACUUUGUUUUCCACUUUACAUACAUACAUUGAAUAUCAUAACGCGUAUUAAGGUUUUUAUUUUUUAUGAUUGUAACAUUAUAUUGUUUGUUUUUAAUUUUGAUUUUUAUAUGAUUAUUACUUUUAAAUUGAAACUUCUUUGGAUCUAGUCGUAAAAUAAAGAUUGUAUAAUUCAAACUCUAACAAA